CUACGGGGCGCUCCAGUGGGGAAUAUUGCACAAUGGAGGAAACUCUGACGCAGCCAUGCCGCGUGCAGGAAGAAGGCCUUAUGGGUCGUAAACUGCUUUUAUUUAGGAAUAAACCCCCGAACGUGUUCGGGGCUGAAGGUACUAAACGAAUAAGCACCGGCUAACUCCGUGCCAGCAGCCGCGGUAAUACGGAGGGUGCAAGCGUUAUCCGGAUUUAUUGGGUUUAAAGGGUGCGCAGGCGGGCUAUUAAGUCAGUGGUGAAAUCCCGGGGCUCAACUCCGGAACUGCCAUUGAUACUGAUAGUCUUGAGUUUGGUUGAAGUGGGCGGAAUGUAGCAUGUAGCGGUGAAAUGCAUAGAUAUGCUACAGAACACCAAUCGUGAAGGCAGCUCACUAAGCCAAAACUGACGCUCAUGCACGAAAGCGUGGGGAUCAAACAGGAUUAGAUACCCCGGUAGUC
rnacentral:rRNA from 1 species